GGCCCUGGCGCCAGUCUGGAGCAGGUGAUAUUUUAAGACCACAUCAUCCCUCAGAAGUGACACUAUUUUUUCUAUCCAAGGCUUUGGAUCAGGAGAGAGCCCUAUUCUGGUAUUUGAAAGUCAUUGCUCCAUUUGCAUGAACUUGGCACUGAGGACAGGCAGCAGGUGGCCAGAGACCAGACUCCUCUUCAUACCACAAAUCCAAGCUUGGAAGCCUUUGUUAUCUUCUCUUCAAUUAUAUCAGGAAGACCAUCUGGGGCUCAGUCUCCAAACCCAUCUUCAGAGCACCAGAUUGGACCUUGGAGUGCUGCUGUCACUUUUACCUUCAGGCUAAAACCUUAAGUGAUUUGAGGUAGUUUUCUAUUCUUGUAGCUCAUGAGUUCUCACCUGGUAUGUUGUGUACAAUAUCAAUAACCAAUUCGAUACCUGCCUAUUAUCAGUUGUAAUAAAUUGGUUUCAAGUAGCUUUUAGAAAGAGAAGGUAUAACAAGGACUAAUAGAUGGAAAUGUUCCAGAUUGGGAGCCCACCCUCCCUUUUGUAUACCUCAGGCACUGGGGAGAGUAUCCUCAAAUUGAAAGUGGUUUUGAUGAAACAGCCCAUCCCCUACUCUGAGGAAGUAUUUGGAGUUCUUUUCUUCCUUCUUAGAGUCUCCACCAAUUUUACUUCUGGGUGAGCUACAGUCUUGCAUGUAAGGUAUCAAAUCAUGACUGCUGAGUCAAGGCGCUUCUGGGCUGGGCCAUGCAGUUUGGUUGUCAGGGCUGGCUCCUCCUUGAUUACUGCUGGUGCUAGCAGAUUCAGCUAGCUGGUUCUUUUCAUUCCAUCUCAGAUACUCACUCCCCGAGAUCAGUAAAAUAUGAUGGAAGCAGAAGCAAUACAAGCACCAUGUGUUCACGGAUAUGUGGUCAGCUGCCUUACUUGCCAAAUGUGACCAUGACUACUAUGACUUUAGGAGGGUUGGUAUCAGUCAGAAGAUAUUGUCCACAUUCUUUGGACCAGGCUCUUAUUGACCAGCCUGACUGUUAUAGAAAGCUAUUCCUUAGCUUUUCCUAGUCAUCACUUGAAACAGUGUAAAAAGGAAAGAGAGCAGAAUAAAGCAGUUCAGCAAAAGAAAAUAACACAAAAAAGCUCCACCCAAAAAACUAAAUGACAAAUUAAAAAAUACUAAAUGAAGCUGGCAGUAUAUGUUCCCUCCCCAUAGU
rnacentral:lncRNA from 1 species